ensembl:lncRNA
UUUUUUUUUUUUCUUUCUCCAAUUCUACCACAAUUUCCAUGCAGGUGAGAACCCCCAAAGUCUUGCCUCAAAAAAUCAGAAUUAUUUUUAGGUCUCUGAAAGACAACAAAGCAUGAAACCUGUGGCUCAACUUUCUUAAUUGUUACACUAUGCACUUUGACGUUUUAAAAUAUUUUAUUUGUAUUUAUAAGUUGUUUUAUUUAUAAUAUUUCCAAAGUUAUUUUGCUUACAUUGGAUCUUACAUUAUAACUUACUUCCUACAGUCUUUUACUUAAUAUUUAGUGUAUUUUUUAGAGAGAAAAAAUAGUUUUACAUUUAUAAAUGCUUAUAGAUAAUAAUUUAUACAUUGCUGAAAAUGUAUUUUUGGUAUUAUUUCAUUGUAUUACUUGUCUCUUUUUCCUUGCUUUUUAUUAUUCCCCUCUUCUCUCUUCAUACUGUGAUUUCUUACCCCUGUUUCACCUCAUUUCUUCUUCCCUGCCUUAUUUAUUUCUAGUUCUUCAUCCUUUUUUUGCUGAACAGCACAAAACUCCAACUAUUUCUUUAAUGAAGAAAAUGGUUGGACUGUUCUGAAUUUCAUUAUGGACAAGUAGAUUUUAAAAUACUUCAUACUCUUAUGAAGUUUAGAUUUUAUACAGUUAUAGAUCAGAUAUCUGUUACAACAUUUCUGGAGACACAGACUUGGAGACAUCCUGUUCUUUGAACAAGAUUGUGUCAUUUUCCAGAGCACAUUCAUAUGUAAACAACGGGCUGCUUGCAUAGCAAGAUAAAUUAUGUUUCUGCACACCAGAGCCAUAAGGUCUCACCCCUGAAGAUGAAAUGCAGUGAAAUCAUCCACUCAGCCACAGCCUUUGCUGGAACAGAGGAAAGCUUCAUCCAGAUUCUAUACUUUUACAUUUGUCUGCUUACCUUCCAGCAUGUUCCUGCUCAAGAAGAGAUUAUGAUGAGUUCAGGAUGAACUGUAGUGCGUGCAGCAGACACUAAGACCAGUUGACUGCAAUAAGUUGUUUCAUCAGCUGUAUAUCAUUUGUGAAAUGCAUUAGUGUUGAUCACCACCCUUCAUCAUUUCUUCAGCUCUUUAUCUGGAAAGAGAAUGGUGAAGUGACUCAUUUUAAAACAAUUAGCUGAUAAGUGUUUUGGGCUAAUUAAUUGUGAAAAAUAGCCCUGGCAAAUGCAAACAAAGCUAAUGAUUCAGUCUGUUAUUUUUUGAGCAACCAAUACAGUGGAAUAUGAGGGAAGCUUGUAGUCCUGUUUACAUUUUUUGGCUAUUCUAUCCCCUUUUUGGCCUUUUGCCUAAAAAGCUAAAUGAAAAAACAGCCAAAUUAUAAAUAUUUGAGAGGAAAAAUCCUUUUACUAGCAAGUCAGUGAAGGGACAGUAAGCUUGGACAAAGAAUUUAUAUUAAAAAAGAAGGAUUUCCUUCCAGCCUCCAGCUCUCCAUCAUUCUACACGAGGUUGUCAAAUGUGAACACACAUAUGUAAGGAUGCAUAAAAUAAUGAAUAGCUUGACUAUAUUCUGUACCUUUCAGUGAUAAACAGUAGUAAAACGCCAUAUUCUCAAAUUCUAUUUAUGGGUAGAAAAGUACAAAGUGCAACAUCUUUUUUUUUUUUUCCCUUUUGCUUUGUUUCCUAGAUGAUUGAGAAAUACACAAUUAGAGAUUCUUUUAUAGGGUGGUGACUACUUCAGAAGGCUGAAGAAAAUUCAUUUUUCAGUCCUUUACAAACCACUUCUGUGGACCUGACAUCUCAAAAUUAUUUGUUCAAUAAAAUCACAAAACCAAUGCUUGUAGGAGACUUCAAGAGACUCCAUUCUCUAGCUGAAAAAUAAGAUCAACUUCUAAUAUCUCCUGUAUAACUUAUAUGGUUAUAAACUCCAUAAAAACACAAUAUGUACCUCAUUCUUCUUUACUAGACACAACUCCAAACAAAUUACUUAUAUUACUAAACAGGCUACUUAUAGAAAUAUCUGAACUGCAGUUGACCAGAGAUUGUUUUCUAAAUUCAAACAAAUUUUUAAAAAACUAACCUAUAGCUUCAGUUAUACUGAAAAAAAAAAUACAUAAAUUGUGUCAGCGAGCUUUCAUUGCGGUAAACUUACACUUACAGAGAACUUGGGUGUGUGGAGGUACACAGAAAUUUAAAUUUAAAAGGUAACUGGAAUGUUGACAAAAUAUUUUAGUGAAGGAUUUGAUUCAAGUGAAUAUUAAACAAAACUCAGUCACUCAAUAUUUGACCUGUGAAAUUCAGAAAAUUUGGAGUUCGGGGAAUCAAUAUUUAUAUAUUUGAACAUUUUAAACCAUAAGAAUCUGUAUGAAGGUGAAAAGGAUGAGUUUCUUAUAAAACAGGGAAUUACCUCAUCUAUGAAAGAAUGAGUUUUGCCCUUUGGACCUUACAAGACAAUCACUGAAAUCAUGUUGAUUUUGUAAUUCCAGGGAUGAUAGGCAAACCCUCAUAAAAUUAUAUAGAAUAGUAUAAAUUAUAUGGAUUAUUACAUUUCCUAUCAGUUCA